CGAGCGCGGCGCGCGGCGGGGCGGGCCCCGGCCGGCGGGACGUGGCGCCGCGGCCAAUGGGAGCGCAGGUUUGGUUGGCCAAGCGCGGGGAGGGGAGGGCGCUUGGACGAGAGUUCCCAGAGCGGGGCGGGGCCGCUGGGCAUUGUGGGAAGGUGGCGGACCGGGGGCUUUAUGGUGGGGCGAGCAGGGCUGGGCGCCUUCUGUGACCGCAGAGCCGCUGCCACCCCCCUGCCCUCCACGGGCCCAUGGCCGGACCCCACUGGGCCUGUAGGGCCUUGGCGGCCGGUGAUGCGACGGCGCAGGGCGGGCCCGGGCCCUGGACGAUGCGGCUCCUCCCGCACCGCGCGGGGCACCCGUGGGUGCCCGAGGCCAGGCAGGCCCAACCCUGAGUGGGAAGGACCCGUCUCAGCCAUAGGCCCGCGGAUCUGGCCAGCCUGGCCGCCUACAGCUGCGGCAGCCCUCGGUGCAAAGGAGGAGAACGCCGAGGCCCUGCAGUGCCAGCCCAGCGCUCCCAAGCUGUGGCUGCUGCUGUCCCCUGACCCCGAACCACUAGAGCCUGGCGAGCACAGAGCCUGUCAGGGUGAGCUCUGUGGGUGCCACCUCAGAGGCCUUCCUCACUCUGCGUCUCUCCACACAGGGGGUCUCAGCGCUGGCUUUAACCCAGGUUUCCUCAUUAUUUCCCAGUGCUUCUGCUGGUAUUUUGGAGUUCUUACAGACACCCAACACCACCCAUUCUGUCUGUAUUCAUGUUCCCACACCUCCUGGGCUGGGCUCACUCACCUUCCCACAUCUACUCUGCCUAUGAGUGCCCCACAGCCGAGAGGACUGUUACUCUCUCAUCACUGAUCUCUAUAACCCCUGCAACACUGCUCUGACAGGUAAAAGAGACAGUAUUCUCAGGCAAAAAGCAGGAUCUCAGAGCCUACAUUUUCAUUGUAAUGACAGCAUGGAUUUCACCUUGUGUCCAGAGCUUCAGAGAAGAAAAUGUCUGUACAACUUCUCUCCUUGAAUCAGUUCUGGAGUGGAAUAUAAUAUCUGAAUAAUUUACAAAGGCUCUUCAUUAUACAGAUUUAUUUUUGGCAGCUUUGUUAGACUGCUCCUUUUAGGAACUAAUAGGAAGUUUCUCUGGUUCCAUUAGGACAUCCCUGUACAAGUCCUUCCAUCUGGGACCAGGGACUGGGACAGUUUAUUGCUCCAUUAGCAAUGCAAAAUAUAAACUCCUGGUCCUUGGGUAACCAGGCUCCAGUCCAGUGGCCAGAUGAGUAAGGAUGUCCCUAAACCUGCCAUCUCACAGGAAGUGGGAGCAAUGGCAAGAUCUUCCCUCUGUGGACAGGAGACCAGUAUGGAGGCACAGGAGAGGUCUGGUCCUGCACCAGCUCCAAGCAGGAAGUUGCUCCUGCUUUCCAGCCAGACUGUAUUGACCCCCACUGACACACUUAGGCUACUGCCUGGGCAAGGCUAGAAUUCCCCCUUCUUCAGAUGCAGAUGCAUUCCUGGCUGGAAAUAGGCCCAUUAAAAAGUCAUUUACCAGGCACAAGUGAGUUUGUGUUCCCCUGGAUUGGGAUUUGCCAAGAUUAUACCAUAAAUCAGUGUGUUUCCUGGAAGAAUGUAAGGAGGGGAAAAAAAAAAAAGAUAAAAUGGAACAUUUUGUAGCCAACAGAAAAGCCAAUAAAGGAACAUUUCAUUUCCCGCUUGGAAUGGAGCAACUGCAAGCUGCUGCAAGGGGAGGGAUGGCAGGGCAGGGCAGUGUGAGCAGGGCACCCGUGCCUGCUCCAGGAUGGGGGAAGAGGACAACAAUGACCUGGUCUGGUCUCCUGCACACACUGACUACAAACUGCAUCUCUCUGCCAUUGAACAGAGCCUGAGCUGGGGUGGCUCAGUUUCUCUACAUGUAAAAUGGGGGACCAGGAGGCCAGCCCGCUGGGGGAAGACUGUCUGCCCUGUUUUCCAACCUUUAUUCUGUUGGGACACAAAGCCUGCCUGCACUAUUAAUAAUCCUUGGCAUGAAGCUGUCACAGUUUCCACUAAUAUGGAGAUGCUGAAGUGAAAAAGCUACUGCACAACAUGCAGGAGGUGUCACAAUAACUCAGCUGCUAUAUUGUUCUCUUUAAAAAUAAAUACCACAACAGGCCAGCCCACAUUGCUGGAGUCAUGACGUGUGGAGUUUUAUUUUUAAUCAGAAAAUUUACUGAUUUUUAAAGAUAGACACAGAGCAGCAUCUGAAUGUGAUGAAAGUUCCCUGUGCACUCUCACACACCAGCUAUGUUCCUGCCUGUUAUUCUCCGGAUGGUUUCCAAGGACCUGAUCCCGCCUCAGCACAGGCACAUUUGUGUGUGUGGCUUUUCAAGUGGCCCCAUGGCAACCAAGUCCUUCCAGAAAUAAAGGUUGUGGCUGAAUUCCCCAUCUCACUGCUCUCUGUGGGGAGACAGUUGAUCCCUCAGGACACAAAUUGCAGGGUCCACUCCUCAGGCAGCAGAUUUAGGACCAAACUUUGCAUCCAGAGCAGAAUACUCCAUUGCAGGUGAAUUACCUUUCCUUUGCCUUCCUUCAUGCUCAGCAAAAGCAUUUUGCGCUGAAAUAAAGCAAAACGAACCCCUGAGUAAAAAA